CCCUUAGAUGUUCUGGGCCGCACGCGCGCUACAAUGAUGAAUUCAACGAGUUUAUAACCUUGGUUGAAAAGCCUGGGUAAUCUUUUGAACUUUCGUCGUGAUGGGGCUAGACCCUUGCAAUUAUUGGUCUCCAACGAGGAAUUCCUAGUAAACGCAAGUCAACAGCUUGCAUUGAUUACGUCCCUGCCCUUUGUACACACCGCCCGUCGCACCUACCGAUUGAAUGGUCCGGUGAAAUCUUCGGAUUGAGACUUUGAUUUGUUUACUCAAAACGCUGUUUCAAGAAGUUGAUUAAACCUUACCAUUUAGAGGAAGGUGAAGUCGUAACA
rnacentral:rRNA from 1 species